rnacentral:rRNA from 1 species
GACGAACGCUGGCGGCGUGCUUAACACAUGCAAGUCGAACGGAAAGGCCUGCUUUCCCUUGUGGAUUGCGGGUACUCGAGUGGCGAACGGGUGAGUAACACGUGAGUGAUCUGCCCCCAACUUGGGUAUAAGCCUGGGAAACUGGGUCUAAUUCCCGAUAGGACUGCAGGGUGGUGCCUGUGUUGGAAAACGAUUUUCUAGUGGUUGGGGAUGAGCUCGAGGCCUAUCAGCUUGUUGGUGGGGUAAUGGCCUGCCAAGGCGGCGACGGGUAGCCGGCCUGAGAGGGUGGACGGUGGGACUGAGACUGGGACCAGGCUCCGACGCCUGCGGGAGGCAGCGGUGGGGGAACAUGGGCGAUGGGCGGAAGCCUGCUGCGGCGACGCCGCGUGGGGGAUGAUGGCCUUCGGGUUGGAAUCUCCUUUCGACCGCGAGGAAGCCACCUGGUUGGAAGGGUGGUGACGGUAGUGGUAGAAGAAGCACCGGCUAACUACGUG